GCGUGAGAAUCUGCCCUCAGGAGGGGGAUAACGGCUGGAAACGGCCGCUAAUACCCCAUAUGCCGAGAGGUGAAAUGAAUUUCGCCUGAGGAUGAGCUCGCGUCUGAUUAGCUAGUUGGUGGUAAGAGCCUACCAAGGCUUCGAUCAGUAGCUGGUCUGAGAGGAUGAUCAGCCACACUGGGACUGAGACACGGCCCAGACUCCUACGGGAGGCAGCAGUGGGGAAUUUUCCGCAAUGGGCGAAAGCCUGACGGAGCAACGCCACGUGAGGGAUGAAGGCCUCUGGGCUGUAAACCUCUUUUCUCAAGGAAGAAGAUCUGACGGUACUUGAGGAAUAAGCCACGGCUAAUUCCGUGCCAGCAGCCGCGGUAAUACGGGAGUGGCAAGCGUUAUCCGGAAUUAUUGGGCGUAAAGCGUCCGCAGGCGGCCUUGUAAGUCUGUCGUUAAAGCGUGGAGCUUAACUCCAUUUCAGCGAUGGAAA
rnacentral:rRNA from 1 species